rnacentral:rRNA from 1 species
GAUGAACGCUGGCGGCGUGCCUAAUACAUGCAAGUCGAGCGAACGGACGAGAAGCUUGCUUCUCUGAUGUUAGCGGCGGACGGGUGAGUAACACGUGGAUAACCUACCUAUAAGACUGGGAUAACUUCGGGAAACCGGAGCUAAUACCGGAUGAUAUUUUGAACCGCAUGGUUCAAAAGUGAAAGACGGUCUUGCUGUCACUUAUAGAUGGAUCCGCGCUGCAUUAGCUAGUUGGUAAGGUAACGGCUUACCAAGGCAACGAUGCAUAGCCGACCUGAGAGGGUGAUCGGCCACACUGGAACUGAGACACGGUCCAGACUCCUACGGGAGGCAGCAGUAGGGAAUCGUCCGCAAUGGGCGAAAGCCUGACGGAGCAACGCCGCGUGAGUGAUGAAGGUCUUCGGAUCGUAAAACUCUGUUAUUAGGGAAGAACAUAUGUGUAAGUAACUGUGCACAUCUUGACGGUACCUAAUCAGAAAGCCACGGCUAACUACG